ensembl:lncRNA
GUCAGCCUCCCGAGUGUGGGAGGAGGAUGACAGGCGUGCACCACCACGCAGGCCUGACUCCCUCACUGCAUCGGGGGCUGGGGCCACGGGCCUAGCGUGGAGGAGACUCAGGCUUCAGACCUCAGCUCUCAAACUUGCUCAACCUCAAGAAGCUGAGUCCAGGGCGAGCUGGAGCUGUGGGCUGGGCAGAGGAGGCGGCGGGAGCUGCGAGGCCGUAGACCCUGGCCGAGGGGCCGAAUACAGCGCGGCCAGCCGGGACCUGGGGAGGGGUCUGCGGGCCGGCAGGAGCGGAAAUGAUGGGGCUCAGUUGGCCCCGCAGAGCCCUGAAAGCGCAGUGAGCUGCUGCCAGGAACAUUGUGAAAGGAGGAAACCGCCCCGGGAGGGGAAAGGUUUUGCUCUGGGGAGACCUGCGAUGGCGCCCGGGGCCCAGCGGGACAGGACCGGGCAUCCGGGUUCAUCCCGAGCCGCCGAGGGGCCGUUGGUUGGAGGAACCCCAGGAAACAGGGAACAGAAGGUGGGGCUUUCUGCAGGUGACUGGACCAUGGCUGUGUGAUGCUGGGAUUAAGGAUGUGUGAUAACUAAAUUGGUUUAGCAUAAACCUGGGUGUGGAUCAUUGAAGCCCCACCCUGGGUGUGGGUGGCACCACCCAAAAGGCCUGUAGCCUGGAUGUGAUAAAAUGGAAAGGGAGGCUCACAGCUGCUGCAGCUGCCUCCUGCCUACCCUGCCAUGGACUGUUUCUCCCCUGCGAUGCCUGUCUGCCAUGCCACCCUGCCUUGGACUGAAACCUCUACAAACUGUGAGCCAAAAUAAACCUUUCCUGCUUUCUUGGAGGUGUUGGGUAUUUUGUCUUAGCAACGAGAAAGUAACUAAGACAAUGACACAUCUUAAAUCUUUUUGCUUCUCCUUCCCUACCCCUCAGUCUAUAAGAUCCCUACCUGUUUGCAAAGGAUCAAUCUCCC